GGGGGUGUCGUUCAAUGGUAGGACUUUAGUCUCCAAAACUAAUAAUCAGGGUUCGAUUCCUUGCGCCCCCG
rnacentral:tRNA from 1 species